rnacentral:lncRNA from 10 species
AAGUUUUUAAAAACCCUGAAUUAGAUCAAAUGUCAACAUCUAAAUUUCCCAUUUAUAGGAAAUACAGAGGAUAAGAGAAUAAAAUACACAGCACCAUGGAGAUACAACUGCAAAAUCCAGAACGAGGCAGUCUAGAAGAGAAACACAGGGGCUUCUGUAACAAAUCAAUUACAAGAAAGGUGGGGAUGUGAUUUAAAGAGUUUUAAGAAACACAGCAACCAAAUAUAACCUGUUGAUCUGGUUUGGGACCCUCAUCUAGACCAGCCAACUAUGAAAAAACAUUUAUGAGACAAUCAAGGAAAUCCAAACAGUGACUAGAUAUUUGACAUUAAGGGCUUAUUAUUUUUUUUUUUUUUUUUUUUUUGAGACGGAGUCUCACUCUGUCGCCCAGGUUGGAGUGCAGUGGCGCAAUCUCAGCUCACUACAAGCUCCGCCUCCUGGGUUCACGCCAUUCUCCUGCCUUCAGCUUCGGGAGUAGCUGGCACUACAGGCGGCCGCCACCACGCCUGGCUAAUUUUUUGUAUUUUUUAGUAGAGACGGGGUUUCACUAUGUUAGCCAGGAUGGUCUCGAUCUCCUGACCUCAUGAUCCGCCCACCUCGGCCUCCCAAAGUGCUGGGAUUACAGGAGUGAGCCACCGUGCCCGGCCAACAUUAAGGAGUUAUUACAGUGCUGGUGUGAUCACGGUAUCAAUAGUUGGUUGUUUUUUUUUAAAAAGAGUCAUAUUUUUAAAAUAUGUACUAAUUUACAGAUGAAACGGUAUGACAACUAGGAUUGCUUCCAAAUAAUCUGGUGGGAGAGGAGCCAGGAGUUUACAAGAAUAGCCAUGAGGUGAUGAUUGCUGCUGGGUGAUAAUGGGUGCACAGGGGUUCAAUUGCCCUCUACUGUACUAAACUUUCCCAAAGCAAAGACACUGAAAAUCUAAAAUAAAAAUAAGAUUCUGCUCCUGACCCCCUCCUUCAAAAAGAGAGACAGAUGCUACAGAAGAGGUACUUGGCACUCUACUUCACAGCUGCUGGAUGAUGGUAGUCACAAUCAUAAUUAGCAGCAGCAGCUAACAUUUAUGAGACACUUCUCCGCGAGUCAGCACUGUGCUCACCCUCACUGAACCUGCACUAUAACCCAUAAGGAAGGCACUUCUAUGUCCAUUUCAGGGGUUAGGAAACUGUGCUUCAGAAGGAUAAAGAGGUUGCCCAAGGUCAAACAGAUAAGUGAAGGAAACCUGUGUCAUUCCACAAGUUCAUAAGCAUAAUGCGGAUGAGAAUGAGUUAUGUUAUUCCAAAAUAGUAACAACUAUCAAGAGUGCUGGGAACUCUAUAAGCCAACAGAUUCAAUCCAGUGUUAAAGAGAGCAGAAGUGGUGCUUUUCUGAUGACCAUUUUUGGUGAAAUGUAGUGAACUGCAGGGUAGAGUCUCUGAGAUCUUAAAGUGAUAAGAGCAGAGGAGAAAGGGUGAAAAGUGGAGGCAGGAAGGGUGGAUGUGUUUUCCAGGGAGGAGGGAGAGACAACAGAAAAUAUGAAAACAAAAGGGAAAUAGCCUGUCAAACUAAAAAUUUAAAAACAAAACAAACAAAUAAACAACAACAAAAAAAAAAACAGAAAAACAACAAAGCAGGAAAUCCAGCAAGAGGGGAAGCUGGGGCAAAGCUUAAAACUAAACCCAAAGGAGGAAGACGAAAAGGCAAAUAAAUGACCCCCAGUCAGACCAGCCUAUGUUAUUCGGGAGGAAAACCUCAGGACCCUGAACUGAGAAACUGGAGAGUGGAGGAAGCAAGAGACUUCUCAAUGGGUUGGGGGAACCAACAGAGAGGCUGACAGUGGGUCAUUCGCUAUAUUUCAUUUAAACUCACAUGUGGAGAAGUACUAUUAUUUUCUCCAUUUUGCAGAGGAGGAAACAAGAAGCCGAGAUAGAGUUAAUCACUUACUCAAAAUCACACAGCCAAUAGGCAGAACUGGGGCUGCAACCAAGAUCUGACCUCCAAGCCAUGCUUUCCGGCUACCUUACUGAAUACACCAAGCACUAGUAAGAACUGCACAGUUAGGACAACACCAAAACAGCCAACAGAACCACCUAGGAAGAAU